CUAGCGGCCACCUCCGGUGAUGACGGCGAGGGUUUCGACGAGUUGAUUUCAGAAAUGGAAAAUAGGUGAAACUUAUUGAAGGGGCGAUUAUAUUAGCAGCUAAAGAACUGGAUGACUUAACUAAUAGCAGGUUUGAUUGUUCAGGUUGACUUCGGAAAUAGAGACGAUAAUAAUCAAAUCUAGGGCAUCCAUAGUUGUACUGUCGAAGAACUAUGCAAAAUCCAGAUGGUGCCUUAACGAGCUUUGGUUGAUCCUGGAGCAAAGGAGGGAGUGCAAUCAUUUCCUUUUACCUGUUUUUAUCACGUCAACGCAUCAGACGUUAGGAACCAAACAGGAAUAUUUUCUAUAGAAGGGUCAAAAGCGACAGUGGAUAGUGUGAAGCAGUCGAAGGCAGCAUUAACAGAGGUGGCCGAUUUGAGUGGCAUGGUUCUUUCUGGGGAGAAAGUGAAAAACUAACCGUUAACAACAUAAAUAAACCCAAGGUAUUCGGAAACAGUUCAGACGGGUGCUGGUAAAGAUGUAUCUAUUUGUCAUUGGCGGCGUCUUGAAGUUUUAUAAGGUUUUAACCUUGAUAAAUUAAGAAAACAGAGGUCACGUGUCUCAUAUGCAUCAAUAUCUGCAAUUGAAACUAUAGGUACGAGUUACUCUCGACACAUGGAAGAUGAGUAUCAGAAGUUUAUCCGGAGAAUGAACCCGCCUCGAGUCGUAAUCGACGAGGAAUCGUGUAAAAAUGGUACAAUCAUUCAGGUAUUA